CACUCCUACGGGAGGCAGCAGUGAGGAAUAUUGGACCAUGGGUGGAAGCCUGAUCCAGCCAUCCCGCGUGCAGGAAGACGGCCCUAUGGGUUGUAAACUGCUUUUAUCUGGGGAUAAACCUACUUACGUGUAAGUAGCUGAAGGUACCAGAAGAAUAAGCACCGGCUAACUCCGUGCCAGCAGCCGCGGUAAUACGGAGGGUGCAAGCGUUAUCCGGAUUUAUUGGGUUUAAAGGGUCCGUAGGCGGACUGAUAAGUCAGUGGUGAAAUCCGACAGCUUAACUGUCGAACUGCCAUUGAUACUGUUAGUCUUGAGUAAGGUUGAAGUGGCUGGAAUAAGUAGUGUAGCGGUGAAAUGCAUAGAUAUUACUUAGAACACCAAUUGCGAAGGCAGGUCACUAAGUCUUAACUGACGCUGAUGGACGAAAGCGUGGGGAGCGAACAGGAUUAGAAACCCUAGUAGUCCCAUG
rnacentral:rRNA from 1 species